rnacentral:rRNA from 1 species
AUUGAACGCUGGCGGCAUGCCUUACACAUGCAAGUCGAACGGUAACAGGUCUUCGGAUGCUGACGAGUGGCGAACGGGUGAGUAAUACAUCGGAACGUGCCUAGUAGUGGGGGAUAACUACUCGAAAGAGUGGCUAAUACCGCAUGAGAUCUACGGAUGAAAGCAGGGGAUCGCAAGACCUUGUGCUACUAGAGCGGCCGAUGGCAGAUUAGGUAGUUGGUGGGAUAAAAGCUUACCAAGCCGACGAACUGUAGCUGGUCUGAGAGGACGAUCCGCCACACUGGGACUGCGACACGGCCCAGACUCCUACGGGAGGCAGCAGUGGGGAAUUUUGGACAAUGGGCGCAAGCCUGAUCCAGCAAUGCCGCGUGCAGGAUGAAGGCCUUCGGGUUGUAAACUGCUUUUGUACGGAACGAAAAGCCCUGGAUUAAUACCCUGGGGUCAUGACGGUACCGUAAGAAUAAGCACCGGCUAACUACGUGCCAGCAGCCGCGGUAA